rfam:Brachypodium distachyon strain Bd21 chromosome 3, whole genome shotgun sequence.
UAAUUACUCCCUCUGUUUAAUAAAAGAUGUCUCAAAUUUGUCAAAAUUUAAAUGUAUCUAUACAUGACUUAGUGUAUAGAUGCAUUCAAAUUUAGUCAAAAUUGAGACAUUUUUUGUUGGACGGACGAAGUAUACA